rnacentral:rRNA from 1 species
AAAUUGAAGAGUUUGAUCAUGGCUCAGAUUGAACGCUGGCGGCAGGCCUAACACAUGCAAGUCGAACGGUAACAGGAAGCAGCUUGCUGCUUUGCUGACGAGUGGCGGACGGGUGAGUAAUGUCUGGGAAACUGCCUGAUGGAGGGGGAUAACUACUGGAAACGGUAGCUAAUACCGCAUAACGUCGCAAGACCAAAGAGGGGGACCUUCGGGCCUCUUGCCAUCGGAUGUGCCCAGAUGGGAUUAGCUUGUUGGUGGGGUAACGGCUCACCAAGGCGACGAUCCCUAGCUGGUCUGAGAGGAUGACCAGCCACACUGGAACUGAGACACGGUCCAGACUCCUACGGGAGGCAGCAGUGGGGAAUAUUGCACAAUGGGCGCAAGCCUGAUGCAGCCAUGCCGCGUGUAUGAAGAAGGCCUUCGGGUUGUAAAGUACUUUCAGCGGGGAGGAAGGGAGUAAAGUUAAUACCUUUGCUCAUUGACGUUACCCGCAGAAGAAGCACCGGCU